rnacentral:rRNA from 1 species
CCUACGGGGGGCUGCAGUGAGGAAUAUUGGUCAAUGGCCGGAAGGCUGAACCAGCCAAGCCGCGUGAAGGACGAAGGUGCCAAGCAUUGUAAACUUCUUUUGUCAAGGGACAAAAUCAGGCUCGAGAGCUCGACCGAGGGUACGUGACGAAAAAGCAUCGGCUAACUCCGUGCCAGCAGCCGCGGUAAUACGGAGGAUGCGAGCGUUAUCCGGAUUUAUUGGGUUUAAAGGGUGCGUAGGCGGACUGUUCAGUCAGCGGUAAAAGCCCGGGGCUAAACCCGGGCGAGCCGUUGAAACUGGUGGUCUUGUGAGGUCGAGAGGUAGGCGGAAUGCGCAGUGUAGCGGUGAAAUGCUUAGAUAUUGCGCAGAACUCCGAUUGCGAAGGCAGCAUACCGGCGGCGAUCUGACGCUGAGGCACGAAAGCGUGGGUAGCGAACAGGAUUAGAUACCCCUGUAGUC